GAAUCUUCGGGUACAGCUUUACACAGCUUCAAUCACACGGUUGCCACCAGCAUUCUGUCUCUCACUUUCUCUGCUUGAAGGGUGCAGAGG